ensembl:lncRNA
GCCAACAAAUACAAUAAUGCAUGAAUAUAUAUAAAAUAAAUACAAUAAUGCAUGAAUCUUAUUUUAUUUGAAAUUAUUUUUAAUACUACGCAUGGUAUUUACAGUUGUAGAACUUAUUCAGUCCGAUGAAAAAUCAGGAUUUCACUUGAUAAGAGGUAGUGUGUGUGUUUGAGUGUUUGUGCGUGUGUGUGAGUGUGAGUGUGAGUGUGUAGGACCAUUUCCAUCGCAGGAACUCGCUGGCGCCUUUGUGAGUGUUUGGACGCAGGAACCGCUCCUGUAUUUUAGAGCUGUUUUCAGGGGAGAAAUAAGAACUUCCUCUGGGGGUAGGUACACACACACACACACACACACACACACACACAAACACAAACACAUGCUCACACACACACACACACACACACACACACACACACACACACACACACACACACACACACACACACACACACACACAUCACUCACACACUUCUCAGUGGCCCUGGAAAACUGCUGGGCGGGACUCUGCGCUUAUCAGCUCAAUAAACCAGAUUUACCAGAGGUUUACAUGGUGAAAACAGCUCAAUACAUCAUAGCUUAGUUUGUUGAGAUUGCAGUCACUGAAUGAACACAAGCAUAACCUCAGCUGAAAUAUAGGCUUUAAUUAAUCAUAGUGGUGCUGCUAUAUAUAUUCAUCAGGUAAUUACAGCUGCCAGCCCACCUCAAGCAAUAUAAAAAUUUUUAAACAGCUAUUCUUAAGUUUAUAAAGUCCAUUAACUUCAAUGCACUCCAUUAGAACUGAUCACACACACACACACACAAACACACACACAAUGUCCUCAUGUCCCUCGUCCAUUUCUCUAAAUUGCAUCCAUAGACUUAGUAUAUUCUUGCCGCAUGCAGAUGCAAAUUUCGAGUGAAUGGAAGUCAAUGGACACCGUAAACCUAAGAAUAGCUCUUCUGUUUCUAUAGCUGGGGCGACAGUGGUACAGGAGGUAAAGAAGUCGUUUAGUAAUCAGAAGGUUGCUAGUUCGAUUCCCUGUCGAAGCGUCCUUGAGCAAGACACUGAACCCCUAAUUGCUCCUGAUGUGCAGUGUGCCAUCAGUGUAAAUGUAAAAUGUGUAUACAUUGUAAGUCGCACAUAUGUAAGUCGCUUUGGAUAAAAGCGUCUGCUAAAUGACUAAAUGUAAAUGAUAGCUUGACGCCGGGGCCAUAAAGUGUCAUCAACCUUGCUAGAAAGUUCAACUUUGAAAGUUCGACCUUGAGGUAAUCCUAACAUUAUCUACAAAAUCUCUGGUUUAAUGGCCUAAUACUGGACUGCUGCCUGAGAGAGAGAUGUAUCAUUAUUUUGCCGUGCUCGGCAGUGACGUCGUGAUCCUGCAGUAGAAAAUUGCCUGUCUGUGUGUGUGUGUGUGUGUGAUGCUGGGAGGCUAUGUUUUAUAAAUUCCAGCCACCUCACAAGGCAUUUGUGAGCAGUCUGGGCCGUGUGUGUGUGUGUGUGUGUGUGUGUGUGUGUGUGUGUGUGUGUGUGUGGCGUUGGGACGUUAUGUUUCAUAAAGUGCUGUUACUGCCGACACAGUAGGUAGUAGAAGUCUGAGGCCACCCUGGGCUGUGUUGGCCAUCCUGAGCAGUGCGUACAUGGGCUCCUGGAUCAGCUGUGUAUGAGCCAUGCGUACGAUUAUGUCCUCAAUGGUGCCCCCUUCUGGCAAGGAGUGCACACGCAUCCUGUGGAGAAUGUCGAGCAGGUCGGCCAUCUCAUACUGCCCUCCUUCCAAGGCUGAGGAAAGAAUGUUCCUCUCAGCUGGGGUGGC